CGCCGAUCAGAUCAGAUGUCGUUGCCGCAAAAGAGCCGCCGCCGCCGCAGGAGGUCUCCUCGCGAAGGACCCUCCCUCCGGCGCCGUGGUGAAGAAGGCGCAUCGUUGUCUCGAUCCCUUGUCCAAUCGGAUAGCAGCAGCACGACAUCCAGCGCACCGCCGUCCGGAUCCUUGGACGAGCCGCUGGCCCGCCAGUCCAGGUACCAUGAGAUCCUCGCCUCGCGCCUCGCCCGGUUGCAGUUACAAGCCGGCGUCGCCAUCGACAGACCAAAUCUUCCUUUGGAUGAAAUCGUCCAAAUCCUCGCUCGUUCUAAUUUCUAUGACGAUGAGCUGCGGGCUGCCCUAGUAGAAUAUCAAGCCCACAGGUUCUUGAGCGAACCCCACGGACCAGAUGUUCGAGAUACAUACUUUGGAGAGGACUCGGGCGAUGAUAUCACUGCGGAGGAAUUCGUCAGGUACUCCGGACAGCUAAAGACUCGCAGACCUGCUGAAAUUGACACUAAGACUGGACUGGAUCAAGAGCAGUUGGACAGCCUCCUUGCCAAGUAUAAACGUUAUCACUUCAAAGCUUACCUGUUGUUGUUAGGAAAGCCUGCCGACGAGCUAGAAGAAGCUGCAUUGGAAUGCAAGUACCCUAUGGAGCUUUGCUUGGAGAAUGAGUUCUUCUCUCCUUACCUUCAUGAUAGUGCCUUUGGCUGGUAUUUCGACCACGACCUCUGUUUACUUGCAAACUUGAGCGACUACCAGCGGCUAGUCCUUCCUAACUCUGUA
rnacentral:rRNA from 1 species